rnacentral:rRNA from 3 species
GAGAAGUCGUAACAAGGUUUCCGUAGGUGAACCUGCGGAAGGAUCAUUC